rnacentral:rRNA from 1 species
AUUGAACGCUGGCGGCAUGCUUUACACAUGCAAGUCGGACGAGUGGCGAACGGGUGAGUAACGCAUCGGAACGUACCGAGUCAUGGGGGAUAACUGUCCGACAGGCCAGCUAAUACCGCAUCUUCUUCGAGCGGCCGCUGUCUGAUUAGCUGGUUGGCGGGGUAAAGGCCCACCAAGGCGACGAUCAGUAGCGGGUCUGAGAGGAGGAUCCGCAAAACUGGGACUGAGACACGGUCCAGACUCCUACGUGAGGCAGCAGUGGGGAAUAUGGCGCAAUGGGGGCAACCCUGACGCAGCCAUGCCGCGUGAAUGAAGAAGGCCUUCGGGUUGUAAAGUUCUUUCGGUAGCGAGGCGUUAACUACAGAAGAAGCACCGGCUAACUCCGUGCCAGCCGCCGCGGUAAUAC